CGGAAAGGCCCUGCUUGCAGGGUACUCGAGUGGCGAACGGGUGAGUAACACGUGGGUGAUCUGCCCUGCACUUCGGGAUAAGCUUGGGAAACUGGGUCUAAUACCGGAUAGGAACCAUCUUUAGUGUGGUGGUUGGAAAGUUUUUUCGGUGUAGGAUGAGCUCGCGGCCUAUCAGCUUGUUGGUGGGGUAAUGGCCUACCAAGGCGGCGACGGGUAGCCGGCCUGAGAGGGUGUACGGCCACAUUGGGACUGAGAUACGGCCCAGACUCCUACGGGAGGCAGCAGUGGGGAAUAUUGCACAAUGGGCGCAAGCCUGAUGCAGCGACGCCGCGUGGGGGAUGAAGGCCUUCGGGUUGUAAACUCCUUUCGCUAGGGACGAAGCUUUUUGUGACGGUACCUAGAUAAGAAGCACCGGCUAACUACGUGCCAGCAGCCGCGGUAAUACGUAGGGUGCGAGCGUUGUCCGGAAUUACUGGGCGUAAAGGGCUCGUAGGUGGUUUGUCGCGUCGUCUGUGAAAUUCUGGGGCUUAACUCCGGGCGUGCAGGCGAUACGGGCAUAACUUGAGUGCUGUAGGGGUAACUGGAAUUCCUGGUGUAGCGGUGAAAUGCGCAGAUAUCAGGAGGAACACCGAUGGCAAAGGCAGGUUACUGGGCAGUUACUGACGCUGAGGAGCGAAAGC
rnacentral:rRNA from 1 species